ensembl:lncRNA
CUGCAUUGUUAGUAACAGAUGCAGGCACAGCUGGAGAGUCCCUUACCUCUAUGAAAAUCCCACCACUAGGGGCAGCAACUGGCACAGAUGCUCAGGGUGGAUGGACAGGAUUGAUAGCUUGCAGGUGGGAGUGAUUGACUGUUGAUUGCUGAUCUAAGGAGGCUGAUCCAAGCCAGCAGGGUUUUGCCCACUUGAAGUUGUGUAAUUUGGUUUGGUAUGUCUAUAUUGUUUUUCUUUUCUGUGUUAUUAUGUUUUCACCACCAGAACAUCAGUUACCUGCAUGAGCUGCUCCACUACACUGAGCCAGAACACCCUGGACCUUGCACUACCCACAUGAAUGUUCACCAUACCAGGAGUAGCACAACAUGUGAUGGAACAG